UGAAAGUGAAAGGGUGUUGUCUAACAUAGGCUAGAUAGGUUAACCUACACGACAUAUUGUUCUGCAGUCCCUAUACGUUUUCUUCAAGGUUCAAGCAUUUCAACUACUCCUGUGAAAAAUAAUAACCGGAGAAGUACCACUGCGUGUGGAACCAUCACAGACGUUUCUGAAGUGAAGAUGGGGAAGGCGGGGGGGAAAUACUACCAAGCUGUUCUAAACCAAGAGGAUGGGCCCAUGGUCAUUCUCAUUUUGGAUCUAGAGAAACGAAAUAACUUUCUAGGAGCAGAGAAGAGAAGGUCUUCUGUAAAGUUGAAGAGAAUCUCAUUCGAGAAACUUGGAAUAAACAAGUACCAAGAGGGGAUAAAGUUCACAAACAAAUCCAAAUUGACUUACACAAGAGCCAAAAACACUAUAAAGAUGGAACCCACUGCUGAUGAAAAAGAAUAAACACAUUUUUUUUUAAACUAGAAUGACAUUUUAAGGAUGACCUACUGACCAGACCAGAGGCAAUUCAUUAACUACCUAGCCUACAUUAUGUAAAUACAGUGCCUUCAGAAAGUAUUCACAUCGCUUAACUUUUUCCACAUUUAGUUGUAUUACAAGGUGGGAUUAAAAUUGAUUUGUCAUUUUUUGUCAGUGACCUACACACAAUCCUCUGUAGUGUCAAAGUGGAAGAAAAAUUCGAACUUUUGUAAAAAAAAAAAAAACAUGAAAAAUACAACAUUAAUAUAUCUUGAUUGCAUAAGUAUUCAACCCCCUGAAUAAAUUGGGGUUAUGUUAUGUUAAUAAUUUCUGGCAACAAUUACAGCUGUGAGUUUUUGGGUAAAUCUCUUAAGAGCUUUGCACACCUGGAUAAUACAAUAUUUGCACGUUAUUCUUAUUUUAAUUCUUUAAGCUCUGUCAAGUUGUUUGUUGAUCGUUGCUAGACAGCCAUUUUCAUGUCUGCCAUAGGUUUUAAGCCAAUUUAAGUCAAAACUAUAACUAGCCAACUCAGGAACAUUCAAGGUCGUCUUGGUAAGCUACUCCAGUGUAUAUUUUACAUUGUGUUUUAGGUUAGUGUCCUGCUGAAAGGUGAAUUUGUCUCUGAGUCUUAUGGAAAGCAGAUCGAACAAGCUUUUCCUCUAGGAUUUUGCCUGUGCUUAGCUCUAUUCCGUUUCUUUUUAUCCAAAAAAACCCUCCUUAGUCCUUGCCCAAUGACAAGCAUACCCACAACAUGAUGCAGCCACCACCAUGCUUGAAAAUAUUAAGACUGGUACUCAAUGAUGUGUUGUGUUAGAUUUGCUGCGAACAUAACACUUUAUAUUUAGGACAUAAAGUUAAUUUCUUUUCCACAUUUUUUUCAGUUUUACUUUGGUGCUUUAUUGCAAACAGGAUGCAUGUUUUAGCUUGUACAAAAUAAAAUAUUCUUUCUUCUUUUCACUCUGUAAUUUAGGUUAUUAUUGUGGAGUAACUACAAUGUUGUUGAUCCAUCCUCAGUUUUCGCCUAUCACGGUCAUUAAACUCUGUAACUGUUUCAAAGUCCCUGAGUGGUUUCCUUCCUCUCCGGCAACUGAGUUAGGAAGGAUGCCUGUAUUUUUGUAGUGACUGGGUGUAUUGAUUCACCAUCCAAACUGUAAUGAAUAACUUUACCAUACUAAAAGGUAUAUUCAAUAUCUGUCUUUAGGGAUAUUCAAUAUCUGUCUUUCACAUUUUUACCAAUCUACCAAUAGGUGCCUUUCUUUGCGAGGCAUUGGAAAACCUCCAACUUAUUAUGUGACUUGUUUACUUCUGAACUUAUUUAGGCUUGCCAUAACAAAUACUUAUUGACUCAAGACAUUUCAGCUUUUCAUUUUUUAUUAAUUUGCAAAAAUUUUGAACAUUUUGAGAAAAACAUUAUUCCACUUUGACAUUAUGGGGUAUUAUGUGUCGACCAAUGAUACAACAUCUCAAUUUAAUCAAUUUUAAAGGCUGUAGCACAACAAAAUAAAGAAAAAGUCAAGGGGUGUGAAUACUUUUUGAAGGCACUGUAUAUAUUUGUGUAUUUCAAGUAGCCAUUAGAGUUCCACACUUCCCUUAGGGCUUAGAACUCUACAAUGAUGAUACCAAUCACCAUAUCAAACCACUUGCCUAAUAAUGUGUAGCCCACUGCAGCUCAAAGAAAAUUGAGUAGUUACAGGUCAACUGUGUAUUAGCAUAUUGUUUGUGAAAUAAUUGUCACAACACAGAAUAACUAUUCCAACACAGUAGUAGCCUACUGUUUUUACAAAAUCACUAUUGGACUAGUGCUGAAUGCUCAUAGGCAGUUUUUGAAAAUGUCUUUAAUUUCUUCUCUUUUACCACAAGAUGGUACCACAAGAUGGGUGUUGAAAGUUACAUUUAAUGGCUGAACCACUUCACCUGCUGUGGACACUGUUCAAUAUUUGUUUUACUGUAACACCAGUUGGUUCAGCAUUAAUCUAAUUUACCAUUCUAAGGUACUAUGAGAAGUUCUAAGUUUCUCUUUUUGUUAUGGAUCCUUUUUUUUACGCAUUGUAUUUUCUCUACGUAAUGCACAUUUCUGUGAACAACAGACCAUAAAGUAAUAUCUCAUCUAAA
ensembl:lncRNA